rfam:Verrucomicrobiaceae bacterium TMED137 6576, whole genome shotgun sequence.
ACCGCUCCCCGGGCAGUCGCUGNUUUUCGUAUGGAAAUUGGAGGAAAGUCCGGACACUACAGAGCAGUGUGCCUCCUGAAAGGGAGGGACAGUGGGUCGAAAGANCCGCUGGACAGAUAGUACCGCAGAAAACAAACCGCCUUUUUCGGAAGGUAAGGGUGAAAAGGUGGGGUAAGAGCCCACCGCGCCGAGGGUAACUUAGGUGGCAGGGUAAACCUCUCGCAGUGCAAGACANAACAGGGGAAGGACUGCUCGUCCGAUUGAUCCCCGGGUAAUAGUCGCAGAGAUAAAUGACUGCCGAAGUNCAUAUAGGAUGGAUGGAACAGAAUCCGGCUUACAGGGGAGCGGCCGCC